rnacentral:tRNA from 1 species
AUUUAGCUCAGUUGGUAGAGCAUGGCUCUUGCAAUGCCAGGAUAAUGGGUUCGAUUCCCGGGAU